CGAAGCCCAAGGUCAGGAAGUCAAGAUGGCCGCACCAGCCGGAAGUUCCGGCGCCGAAGUUGCGGGACGCCUGAGCCGGAAGUAUUUCGGAAAUGACGUCCGGACAAGCCCCCUCGCCCGCAUGGGCUGUUUUUGGCGCGCUCCUCGAAACAACCAACCGACAUCAUCCUACCACAAAUGGGAGGAGAAACGAGACACCUUUUGUCCCACCUCCACUUUCUUCGAGAGUGACGCGUAUAGCCACCCAAUCACACAAGCUAGAAGUCUAUUGACUGCUUGACUCCUCCCUCCAUCCGCUAGGAUCCUCUCUCUACCAGCACUGAACUAGUGACUCCGGCUUCCCAACACAUAACAGCAUAUACCUUUAAUCCCAGCACUUGGCAGGAAGAGGCCAGUCUGAUUUACAAACCAGCCAAGACUACAGAGUGAGACCCUGCUGUAGGAUAGAGCAAAAGCAGUACUAAUGGGCCUCCUGAGCCUUGCAUGGAGGGAACGGCAGACGUAAAGGCACAGAGUGCAAGGCAGAGUGCUAGCAUGUGAUGAUCGUCCUUGCAAAUGAGACCAAGCCGGAAAGACUGCCUCAAGGCCCACAACAGCCUUGGCUACUUAAUAAGAUUGCUCCCUGCCCAAAAGUAAGCAAACCUCUCAGCGCUCCCAGCCACAGCCUCUACCAAGCCAAGCCACCUGCCAGACAAGCCAAGGACUCUCCUUCCCUCAGGACCCAGCGGGAGCUCUCUCCUCUUUUCCCCUUCAGCCCCAGGUUAGAUUCAACCCACAGGUGCUCAAGAGCCUGAGGACCCCCAAGCCAGCUGUGGUGUCCUGCAGCUUCCCAUAGCUUGACACCAACCUGCCGCUGACAUGGGAUCCAGCAAGGCCCCCACUGACUGGUCCUCUACCUACCACCACCACCCUGCCCAAGCAUAUGGUGACAUUCUCUGUCCACAGGACGUUCUGAGCUCCAGUUCCCAGGGCCUGAACUGUGCCUACAGAAGCCCAGCUUGGAGAACAAGCUGUGUAGCUGUCCUGCUACAGAAGUCAGUCAGGCCUGACAGGCUUACUCUUCCUUUGGGCCUUUGUACUCUGUGAGGACAGACUUCAGAGUACUCGUUGAAAACGUUGAUGAGGAAUAUUCUUAGUAACACAGCAAACACAGAAACAAAAUCCUUCCACUCACACAGAACACUGAAUUCAUGUCUAGGCAUUGAUGCCUAAAGUCACAGUGCCUGGCUCUGGGCCUGCUCUAGGAUGCCAAGCAGACAGUAUUCUGAACAUCUCUUACCUCACCCCACAACUUCAGGGAAAUGGCACAAACAC